rnacentral:rRNA from 1 species
CAAGCGGUGGAGCAUGUGGUUUAAUUCGAUGCAACGCGAAGAACCUUACCUGGUCUUGACAUCCACAGAACUUUCCAGAGAUGGAUUGGUGCCUUCGGGAACUGUGAGACAGGUGCUGCAUGGCUGUCGUCAGCUCGUGUUGUGAAAUGUUGGGUUAAGUCCCGCAACGAGCGCAACCCUUAUCCUUUGUUGCCAGCGGUUAGGUCGGGAACUCAAAGGAGACUGCCAGUGAUAAACUGGAGGAAGGUGGGGAUGACGUCAAGUCAUCAUGGCCCUUACGACCAGGGCUACACACGUGCUACAAUGGCGCAUACAAAGAGAAGCGACCUCGCGAGAGCAAGCGGACCUCAUAAAGUGCGUCGUAGUCCGGAUUGGAGUCUGCAACUCGACUCCAUGAAGUCGGAAUCGCUAGUAAUCGUGGAUCAGAAUGCCACGGUGAAUACGUUCCCGGGCCUUGUACACACCGCCCGUCACACCAUGGGAGUGGGUUGCAAAAGAAGUAGGUAGCUUAACCUUCGGGAGGGCGCUUACCACUUUGUGAUUCAUGACUGGGGUGAAGUCGUAACAAGGUAACCGUAGGGGAACCUGCGGUUGGAUCACCUCCUUACCUUAAAGAAGC